rnacentral:rRNA from 1 species
AUUGAACGCUGGCGGCAUGCUUUACACAUGCAAGUCGAACGAGUGGCGAACGGGUGAGUAACGCAUCGGAAAGUACCUAGUAAAGGGGGAUAACUGGUCGAAAGGACAGCUAAUACCGCAUAUUAUUCGAGCGGCCGAGGUCUGAUUAGCUGGUUGGCGGGGUAAAGGCCCACCAAGGCGACGAUCAGUAGCGGGUCUGAGAGGAUGAUCGGCCACACUGGAACUGAGACACGGCCCAGACUCCUACGGGAGGCAGCAGUGGGGAAUUUUGGACAAUGGGCGCAAGCCUGAUGCAGCCAUGCCGCGUGUCUGAAGAAGGCCUUCGGGUUGUAAAGGACUUUUGUCAGGGAAGCGGUACCUGAAGAAUAAGCACCGGCUAACUACGUGCCAGCAGCCGCGGUAAUUC